rnacentral:misc_RNA from 1 species
GAAGCGCAACAGGAAGUACGCUAGACAGAAAUCCUGGUGCUGUCAUACAGCACAUGUGCAGAUGACUCGACGGCCACCACGCAGUUGACAGUGUACGUCACCACAUUUUCCUCCGGCGCUGAAGAUGCAGUCCGUGUGGGCCUGGCUCUUAAGUCGCUCUCCUCUGCUAUUGACUUAGCCAUCUUGACACUGGUGGCUGUCACCUCGGCCGGGGGCCAGAGUCCGCCCAUCCCGUUGUAACGCGCACGACGCAGCGGAGUGAUUCUGCUCACGCGUGUGAUUCUUCACGGGGCUCUAGCAAGAGUGAUUUCCGGAGGUGCGCGAGUUACGGGGUCGACGAACGACUUUGCGACUCUAUCGCCUCCGUAUACGCCGUGCACCCAGUGAAAGGGCUGUCUCUCUUUCUGCGGUCAAGAUGUGUCCUUUGCUGGUUAGCGUAGCCGUGUGUCUCUUCCGCUCCGAUUGACAGUGGCGAAGAAAGCAAAGGCAAUGGAGGACGGCGUGCAGGGACGUUCUGGGCGGUCUCAUGGAGACGCGGGGAAGAAGUCGGACAGCCAUUGAGCAGCCCCUUGCUGCCGUCCGCGGCGGCCUUGUGGGGCGACGCUGUUUCUUGGAGACCCUCAAUUGUCACGGUGUUCUCUUGAGCAUGGCGUUGGAGAGCUUCCCUAUCACAGCGCGUCUGAUAGCGCUGAACUCUGUCGAGCGGUCCGCCGCCGCUGGUGCGGCACUAGCCGAGCAGCUUCAGGAUUCUUCUUGGCAGAUGAUCAUAGUGUACUACAGUGCGGGGCUUCUACUGCUAGUGGAGUUUGACUGGAUCGUGGGUGGCGCUGCGCUGAACCCGCUAGCGCUGCCGCGCAGCGGCGGUGACCUUGGCCCCACCUUUCCAUACAGCGCCGAAUUUCGGGGGCAGCGCAUCGGGGCGCUGGUAUCGCGCAACGUAUUUUGUCCAGACCAGGUGAAAGCGGCCUAUCCCGCGUCCAGCGGCACGAGCUGCGACAGUCCAUGUCGCGACGGUCUUGUGCUCUUCACUCUCCAAGCCAGUGCUGCGGGCGUGUCCCUUCGAGCGGGCUCAGCGCAGUGCAUAGUGUGGGGCGUGCCCUUUGCACGACAUAGCGGACGCCAUGUGGGCCACAGACCCCACUGUCGUCGGUACCGCAACGUCGCGCGAGCGCUUUUUCGAGUUCUCCGGCCACCGUUGUUUUUGUCAGACGGAGCAUCCAGGGUGUCACCACUCUGAUGAGGAAUCCGACUGCAGCGAACGAGAGUGGCGCUCAGCAAGAGAGACGAUCGCCGCGCACGAAACUGAAGCAGGUGGCCGGCUUGCCCCAUCUCAGGAUGGGGCAGCUGUGUAUCACCUGCCCCUCUUGCCUUGUCAAGGAUCCCUUCUCAGUAGGCUUAGGUGGGCUCUUCCUUUUCGUCUUUGUGCUGAAAAACGUGUGCCUCUUGCUUAUCCGGCUGUUGGUAAUGGUCCCCCUCACUCCAAACAGUUUCAUGCUAGUCUUUGUCGUUUACUUUGCUUGCCCGUUGUUUACACGGGAAGGAGAGGUGAGCGAAGGAGAGCCCAUCAGUACGAGGCAGUGCAGCAGAGGUCACUUACUUACUCUUAACUGCCCUACGCGAAAGGUGUCGGGAGAGAUACCGAAAAAA